rnacentral:misc_RNA from 1 species
GAGGGAUCAUUACCGAGUUUACAACUCCCAAACCCCUGUGAACAUACCACUUGUUGCCUCGGCGGAUCAGCCCGCUCCCGGUAAAACGGGACGGCCCGCCAGAGGACCCCUAAACUCUGUUUCUAUAUGUAACUUCUGAGUAAAACCAUAAAUAAAUCAAAACUUUCAACAACGGAUCUCUUGGUUCUGGCAUCGAUGAAGAACGCAGCAAAAUGCGAUAAGUAAUGUGAAUUGCAGAAUUCAGUGAAUCAUCGAAUCUUUGAACGCACAUUGCGCCCGCCAGUAUUCUGGCGGGCAUGCCUGUUCGAGCGUCAUUUCAACCCUCAAGCACAGCUUGGUGUUGGGACUCGCGUUAAUUCGCGUUCCCCAAAUUGAUUGGCGGUCACGUCGAGCUUCCAUAGCGUAGUAGUAAAACCCUCGUUACUGGUAAUCGUCGCGGCCACGCCGUUAAACCCCAACUUCUGAAUGUUGACCUCGGAUCAGGUAGGAAUACCCGCUGAACUUA